GAAAAGUGUUAAUAAGAAUACUAAUGAAAUUUCAGAGAUAAUAAACCUAAAAGGCAUUGGAGUAUGUACUUGUUAAAUAUUAGUUGUUGCUGCUAUCUGGAUCUUAAGAUAUGUGAGUCACAAAAGAGUAAGGAGUGUCCACCUGAGAAGGAUGAAGAAGUGGUAACCUCAGGAAUAAGUUGAAUUCAGUUAUGCCAAAUGGGGAAAAUGAAUAUUGAGGAAUAAAUGAGUUAAUUAUCAUAGAAUUGGGGUUUCUGAUAGCACAAUAAAUGAGUGCUGCUUCAAUAAAGAAGUGAGCAAUAAAAGAAAGCAUGAAUCUAAAAUUUUUACAUAACAGGAUGGUUGUGUUGAAAAGACCAGAUAAUUAGAUUGGCCUAUAAUUUAGAUUAUGGACAAAAUUAUGAAGACGGGAAAGUCAGUUAGCUUAUAUGGCCACUAGAAUGAGUUUAGACCUCUCAAGUGUCAAUUAUGUUCAGAUGAAUUGUACCUUCUCUCAAGUGCUACACUCUCUUGGAUGGGAGAUAACUUUGUCCCCUGGUGAAAGCUUGCAUUGGUUGCUCAGGCACUGGGAAGCUGUUUUUGUUUGGAGUGUGCUUAUAUGCGUCCUGUAGGAGGACAGCUGAAAACCUGGUCUCCACCUGCUAAUCUGGUGGGCAGACGCCACAGUGCAGAGAAACCUGGUAUGCAGAAGAUGAAGACAUAGCACAACGUAAGUCAUGUCCUAUAGAUCUAUAUCACCUGUAAGGCAUAAUAUCCCAGCAUGUGCCUCUGAACUCACAUUCUGAAGGUGCAGCAAACAUGGAUGGGAUCUCUAGAGGAGUGGGCACCCGGAAUAUAUGCUUCUUGACCAUGCAGGCAAGAGUGGAAAAUUGUUAGUAUUUAGAUUUAUGUAUAUGGUAAUAUGAUUUAAACAUGUUUUGUUCACAUAUUUCUAUCUAAUGAAGUUAUCUUCCUGUCCUAAUGAGGUGGGUAACAAUGUGUCUCACUGUCACUGUUUUGGAGAUUUUGCUGAACUUGGUGAACUUGCUCUACUCUGGCCUGGACAGAAAAGAAAAGAAAAGCUUACACUUCUUGGUUUCCUUGUUCUGCCUUCCUAUUGUGAUGGGAAAAGACAACAUAGAGUAGAAAUUAACAAAGGAAUCUCUGGAGUGAGGCAUUCUGAAAUUUUACUGAAGCUCUA
rnacentral:lncRNA from 1 species